CCAGUGACAGUGCCUAGGCUCUGAUGUGUCUCUCACGGCUUGAAAAGCUCCGAGAUAACUGUCUUGUGUGGGACUGAGAUGCAGGAUUUCUUCCCGCCUCCCUUUUGUGACUUCAAGAGACUCUGGCAUCUCUUUCUGCAAAGGCAUCUGAAUGUGUCUGCAACCCUGUUAGCAUAAUGUGAGGAGGUGGAGAGACAGCCCACCCCCGUGUCCCCCGUGACCCCUGUUCCCAUGCUGACCUGUGUUUCUCCCAGUCAUCUUUCCUGUUCCAGAGAGGUGGGGCUGGAUGUCUCCAUCUCAGUCUCAACUUUAUGUGCACUGAGCUGCAACUUCUUACUUCCCUACUGGAAAAUAAGAAUCUGAAUAUAAAUUUGUUUUCAAAGAUCUGCCAUGAGGAGGUUGAUGUAUUAAUUAAAUAAGUAAACUCAGAAUUUGAGAAAGCAAAUAAAGACCUGAGAACCUUCCAGAA